CCGGUCACGAGAAAUUCUAGCAGAGUUGGUUCUGCUAGAAUCCUGCUAGAAUGAUUCUAGCAGGCCUGUCAGGAUUCUGUAAGAUUUUUGCUAGAAUAUUCUAACAGAGCGAAAUCUGCUAGAAUUUUGUGAGAAUUUUGCUAGAUAAAUCUGACAGAGCGAAAUCUGUCAAAAAUUACUUCAUUACCGCCAAACCGCUUCGUAGCGAACUUUACUUCCGCCAAAAUAGUCUUGUCAUCAAACCUGUAAACAAGUUCGAUGACGAAGUGAACUUUGUUCAACUCAUUUUUGUCGGUUAUUUGGCACCAGAUGGAGAUGGUUCCGAGAAAACCAGAGCACCAUAGUCAACAUAAACGGCCAUUGGCCUAUGCUACGCGGAAGCAUUCCAGAAACAAAAGGUGGUCCCGAGAUUUUCCACGCAACGCAAUGUUCCAGUGCCAUCCGUUCCUCAACGAUUGAAGUGACCAUUAAGUGAAGUGUAGAAUUUAAAAGUCAGUGAUAGUGCAUGUUUUGCUUCCAUUUGUUGUAAUAAAAAAAAAUGAAUAAAUUUGAUUUUGAAACGCGUUUUUAGUUUGAAAAUAAAUAGAAAUAUCCUAGGAAAUAUCUUACUAACUGCUU